UACGGAGGGUGCGAGCGUUAAUCGGAAUUACUGGGCGUAAAGGGUGCGUAGGUGGUUUCUUAAGUCAGAGGUGAAAGGCUACGGCUCAACCGUAGUAAGCCUUUGAAACUGGGAAACUUGAGUGCAGGAGAGGAGAGUGGAAUUCCUAGUGUAGCGGUGAAAUGCGUAGAUAUUAGGAGGAACACCAGUUGCGAAGGCGGCUCUCUGGACUGUAACUGACACUGAGGCACGAAAGCGUGGGGAGCAAACAGGAUUAGAUACCCUGGUAGUCCCUGA
rnacentral:rRNA from 1 species